AAGCGCCCCUGCCUCUUCCUUCCUCGUCCUUCUCUCCUCCCUCUCUCACCUGCUCUCUCUGUCGUGCAACAGGGAGCCCGGAGGAGUUUUGCGCCGGCCAUCCUCGUCCUCCGCGCCUACAUCAACUCGAGGGCAGGAUCCCCUCGAUCCCGUGCUCUUCGUUGACCGCAGCUCCGGAUCAGAUCGACCUCACCCUUCCUGUACCUCCACCGCCCGGAUUCGCGCCGAUCCGCGCCUCCCUCCGUCCCCUGCAUCGCCUUGUCGCCGGAGUAGGAGCUCCGUUCGCCAAGCGCCGCGCCCCUGCUUCGUCUCGCUGUGAGAGGAGCAGCGAGUCAGCGCCCAGCCACCCCAAAGCGAGGACAGUGACAAGUCCCGCGCUCACGUUGACCGUGUCGCCAGCGCCUGGGCCACCGCGUCGCCGUUUUCCCCGCACGUCCCAGCUUCGCCUCUGCCAGACUCUCCUCCAGCCAGCCCAAGGUCCUAUAGUGAGCCUCAGCCCAGCAAUGUUUCCCCCUGUACACUGUUGGGCCGUAUUCAGAUUCGGCCUGAUAGUGUUUUUUUCUCCCUCUGUUGCGAUUGUAAAUAUUUAUCCAGAGUUGGCAGUUUUACAGUUUAGCCCUCCAACAACAUGCAUUUAAUAUCUCACAAACCUUGCAUCGGAUUAAAAUAAGCUAUAUAUGAAACUUGCUUAGAAUUUUGUGUAGAUUAAUAAUUUGCCACUUUCAUCUAUGUUUAAAAUGUUGUUUGUUUAAAUUUGCUUAAAUAAGUUUCUAAAAUGAUUUAAUUCAUAACUAAAUAACCGUAGCUCGGAUUGUAACAAACUUUAUAUGUAAAUGGGGUAGAAAAAUGCCUAGUUUAACAUGGUGGCACCACUUUGCAUGUUUAACAACUAUAAAAUAUGGUUUAGGGCAGAACAGUACCAAACCUAAUAUAUGCAUAUGGGGAUUUACCGGAAUUGUUGUUCGUUGCUUCCGACCUCAUUUAAACUUGACUAGAUAGGUAGUUUUAUUUUGCUUCACCCCCUUGCCAUGUUAAGAACAUUUAAUAUUGUUGGGUACAUAAACAAGAUCGAACUAAAUAAGUCACGUGGUGUUUCGUUAAUAUGCAACAGAGUUGCAUAUUGAGCUCCAUUUAAUUUGUAGGAUUGCUUGUGUAUAUUGCCAUGCCAUGCUUCAUUAAACCGAACAUGCAUCAUACUUGUUUGCGCAUCGUGCCAUGCUUAUGUGAUGAUUGUUCACUAUGUUGUUUGCUUUCUUUCCGGUGUACUUCUUCUCUAUAAUCCGGUAACGUUGCGUUUGUGAGGAUCCGUUCGACUACGUCCGUUUAUCUUCUUCAUGGACUCGUUCUUCUUCCUUGCGGGAUCUCAGGCAAGAUGACCAUACCCUCGAAAUCACUUCUAUCUUUGCUUGCUAGUUGCUCGCUCUUUUGCUAUGCCUAUGCUGCGAUACCUACCACUUGCUUAUCAUGCCUCCUAUAUUGUUGAACCAAUCCUCUAACCCACCUUGUCCUAGCAAACCAUUGUUUGGGUAUGUUACCGCUUUGCUCAGCCCCUCUUAUAGCGUUGUUAGUUGCAGGUGAAGAUUGAAGUUUGUUCCUUGUUGGAACAUGGAGAUGUUGUUCCUUGUUGGAACAUGUUUACUUGUUGGGAUAUCACAAUAUAUUUUAUUUAAUUAAUGCAUCUAUAUACUUGGUAAAGGGUGGAAGGCUCGGCCUUUUGCCUAGUGUUUUGUUCCACUCUUGUCGCCCUAGUUUCCGUCAUAUCGGUGUUAUGUUCCCGGAUUUUGCGUUCCUUACGCAGUUGGGCUAUUAUGGGAACCCCUUGACAGUUCGCCUUGACUUAAACUCCUCCAGCAAUGCCCAACAUUGGUUUUACCAUUCGCCACCUAGCCUCUUCUUUCCCUUGGGUUCUGCAGACUCAAGGGUCAUCAUUAUUUUAACCCCCCCGGGCCAGUGCUCCUCUAAGUGUUGGUCCACCUGUCAGCUGCCGGUGGCCACCAUGGGCAACUCUGGGCUGGCCUACCCGUACCUAAGACAAUCUGAGUGUGCCCUGAGAAACAGAUAUGUGUAGCUCCUAUUGGGAUUUGUCGGCACAUUCGGGCAGUGUUGCUAGUUUAGUUUUACCUUGUCGAAAUGUCUUGUAACCGGGAUUUCGAGUCUGAUCGGGUCUUCCCGCUAGAAGGAAUAUCCUUCAUUGACCGUGAGAGCUUGUGAUGGGCUAAGUUUGGACACCCCUGUAGGGAUUUGAACUUUCGAAAGCCGUGCCCGCGUUUAUGGGCAGAUGGGAAUUUGUUAAUGUCCGGUUGUAGAAAACCUGAAGUUGACCUUAAUUAAAAUACAUCAACCGUGUGUGUAACCAUGAUGGUAUCUUUCUGGCGUAGUCCGGGAAGUGAACACACUGUUGGAGUUAUGCUUGGCGUAGGUUUCUAUAGGAUCACUUCUUGAUCAUAGAUUUCUCGAUUGUGCUUUGCCUUCUCUUCUCGCUCUCUUUUGCGUAUGUUUAGCCACCAUAUAUGCUAGUCGCUUGCUGCAGCUCCACCUCAUACCUUUUACCCUACCUAUAAGCUUAAAUAGUCUUGAUUGCGAGGGUGCAAGAUUGCUGAGUCCCCAUGGCUCACAGAUACUUCCAAAACCAGCUUGCAGGUGUCGAUGAGUCCAAUGCAGAUGACGCAACAAAGCUCAGGAGGAGCUCGUUGAAGAUCUUGUCCUUUGUGUUGUUUCGUUCUAGAUGAUCAGUAGUGGAGCCCAGUUGGGGACGAUCGGGGAUCUGUGUCGCAUUUGGGGUUCUUCUUUUAUUUUGGUUCCGUAGUCGGACCUUGAUUGUAUUUGGAUGAUGUAAUGCUUUAUUCAUGUAAUUGUGUGAAGUGGCGAUUGUAAGCCAACUAUGUAUCUCUUUUCCCUUAUUGUAUUACAUGGGUUGUUUGCGAAGAUUACCUCACUUGCGACAUUGCUUUGAAUGUGGUUAUGCCUCUAAGUCGUGCUUCAACGCAUGGGAGAUAUAGCCGCAUCGAGGGUGUUACAAGUUAUUAUUCAGAGCCUUCCCCAACCUUAGGAGCCCCACUGCUUGAUCGUUUUUAGCAGCCGUUGUUGAGUCUAGAAAAAUGUUUUGAGUCAUUUAGGAAUUAUAUAUUAGAGAGUUUAGGAAUUCUUUUUACUCCCUAGUCUCCUCAUCGCUCUGGUAAGGCAUCCUGACGUAGAGUUUUGACUCUUCUCUUCUCAAAUUUUCACAAAAUUUUUUUUGGAUCACGCGGGUAUCUUGGAAUCGUUCCGAUGGAUUUGUGACGAGAACAUUGUUCUUGGUGCCUCCUGUCAUUUAGGGGUUGUGGCAGUGUCCCGGGGAGUUGAGCUCUGAGGUGUUGUCGUCACAAUUUUAUCGUUGCAGUUCUGGAAUACCUGAGUUUAGUACGCCGACAUCGAAAAUAUCUUUUAUGCAGUUCGUUGGUGAGAUAACCUCGACGCCACCCAGUACUGGGGCGGGAGUUCGGGAGUAUUGCCAUAACUCGUAUAAUGGAUGCUUUUCGAAGGUUGAGGUAGAUGAUUUCCGAAGGUUUCUUGGUUAUGUGUUGAAGGAUGGAUACAGCUGGAUGUAGGAUUUGCUAGUUUUGGGUGAGAUAUUAUGCUUCCCCUGUAUCCCCAACACCUGAUUGCAUAACCGGAAAUUUUUGGGAGUUUCAUAAGUGGGAAUUCAAGUAGCUCUUAGGAUAUCUUUCCGACAGAUGUAUGAUAUGAAAUUGGGGUUUGACAUCUAGUGGUCCGCCUAUUCACGGUUGGUUUUACAGUGGUCUCGUUGUGUCUUAAAGAGUCCUUGGCUAUGCCGACUCGGGGACGCUUCGUAUGUCAUGUGCACUGCCUUGUACAUGAUGAUGCUGUACGAUCGAGCCCGUGUAGGCCCCACCAUGAAAACUUCAGACGAAAUCUCUAUCAUAUGUUUGUUCCGGCUUAUUUUGCAAGCCAAUCCUUUGUUUUUGUUUUGAGUUGUGGUAUUCGAGUUGCUUCAAUGUCAAGUGUUGAUUCCAUACCUUCCCGAAAUGGUGUUCUCAUGCUCCGAUGUGGAUACCAAUCUUUCUUGAUCAUUGAGAAUGUGCUGUCAAUCCUUUUCAUCCGCCGUGUUUCUCUUCAAGUGAAUCCAUUCGUUUUCAACAUCCGCUUGAUCAAGUAUCAGUUCUUCUCAAGGGUGUUUGUUUCAUCCGUCUCCAAGUUGUAUUUGUUUUCCCACCCACCCACCCUUUUCUUCAAGGAUUCACAUUUCUUAAUCACUAUCCAUUUUAUUGAUGCAAGUCUCUCCAUUCUUUUUCCUUCAUGUUUUUACCCGGUGUUUCUCAUGAAGAUGCUCUACUCGUUCGUCAUUCUUCAUUCUUUUCUUCUUCGGUGGUUUCAAUUCAAGCUUUUGGUGUUGAUCAUAUCCUUUCCUCGUUUCAAAUGCCUUCUCAUACCGGUGCACCUCAUAAUAAUUCAUUUCUCGCUAUUCAAUUAUUCUAGAGUGCUGAAUAUAUCUCAAAAGAUUUGUGUCCCCAUUAUCAGUCCGUCCAAAAAUCUUUCGAGGAUGUUAUCUCAUUCAAGUCAUUUAUUUCAACCGGCGCAAUCUAUCUUCUAAAUCACUCUACGGUGUUUCUUCUCAGUGGGCCCUAACCCACAGGUCUUUUCCCAGGAUCUUACCUGACUCUUCUUAUUUGUCCGGAGCUGUCCUCAAAUUCUUUCAAAGUUUGACGUAAGAAUGAUUUAUCAUCAGUCAAAUGUCUUUCUCCAAGAUCUUUCAAAUUCUUAUCAUCGUUGGUUCAACCUUUCCAAUUUUAAUUCCGGAGUGCCUCAAUAAUUCAUGGUGGUGUUUCUCGUCGUCAUUCUUGGAUUUUGAAGACGAAGAAGAUUUUCUCUCUCAAUCUUGUUCCGUUCUAGUGAUGAUUCAUGGUUCUAGCUUGUUGGCACCCUCUCAUAAUUAUUUCGAUUGUGAGAAUUCUUUUCACCUAUCUGGAGCAUUUCAAGAGUUUUUCAGUUUGUUUAUCCGAAGGCCAUCAUUUUGGAAUUAUUCAUUCUAGCUUUCAGCUCCCGUUCUUCAAUCUUACCGGUGCAUCAUCCAAGUAUAUUCUCUAAUCAGCUCGUAAUCUCUUCGUUCUCAUGGAUCUAAUUCCUCUCAAGCAUCUUCGUUUAUUUGCUAAUUCUUUGGUGUUUCUCUAUCUUUUCUUCGUUCAUUUCCAAUUAAUCCGGAGGUUCGUUCAAGAUCUUUUCCUUGGUUAUCACAUCAAUUUAUUCGUUGUUUUCAAUCCUUCCGGUGGUUCGUUGAAGACCUUCUCAAGUUUGCUCCAUAUCUAUCUUAAUCCGUUCUACGAGAAUAAGUAGUAUGCCAAAUCCAUUGCUUCUCAUCAAUCUAAAUUAGUGAAGGAUACGCAUAAUGUAAUUCUUAUUUUUGUUCAUCCAAGUGAUUAAUUCCUUAUUCCGGAGGUUCAUCAAAUUCUCGAUUCAAGUUGUCAAUCUUUCUUUUCCGGAGUUCAAAGUUAUUUCAAUUAUACCAUUCCAAAGCUUCAUCUAAUCAUUACAAGGAUUCACCUUGUGUUUUCAACUUCUCUUGCCUUCCGUUUGAUCAUUCCUUUGUUUACCGGAGCUCUUCAUGAAGGUUCUACAUGUUGGUUCAUCAAGGAUUUAAUUCCUUCUCGAAGUGUUCAUCAAGUUUCUUUUCGGAGGAGAUCAAGUUUUCUUCAUCUGCAAUUCGGAGUGCAAUUCUUUCACGCAUAUCUUUUGAGGUGGUGUUAUGUCAUUCUUGAUAAUUUCCCUCCGUGCUUUGUGUUUCACACGUUGUUAAGAAUGAGGUAUUUUAAAUCCAUCAAUCUCUUCAUUGGAAUUAUCUUGGGCUAUAUUCCAACUAAAACCGUCCCUAAGGAUUGUUGCUAUUUAUGGUGCUCAUAUAAGACCCAAGUUCUUCUUUCAUCCUUCCGGGUGAAAUAAGUUUCUCGUCUCCCUGUUCUUAUCAAUCCAUUUCUUUUUCCCAUGAGUGGCAGGUUGUCACCUCAUAAUCGGAGAUGUAUUCCAUAAGACCAUAUCAAGCUUAUUCUUUUCGUUGUUGGUGCUCCAACAACUCCGUUCGACCCUUCUCCUAAGGAUGCCUUCUCAAACUCUUUUUGUGACAGAAGUUGGCAUUUGCUUCUCCAUUCUUUUAUUUCAAUUAUCUAUAUUCUAUUCUUUCAUUCCGGAGGCAGUGUGUUGCAAUUUCAUCAAGUAUCUUCUCAUCUUACCAAGUUCUUAUUCAAUUCCUUUUCUUUUCAAUCGAAGUGCUGCCCGAAGUUGUUCUUCCUUGUUCCUCUUUUCCUAACGGAGUGUUUGCAACUUCGUUCAUCUCCAUUACAUUCUUUCUUUCAAUUUGUUCAACUUCUCAAGGUUCUUUGGUUUCACUCGUUUGUCAAAGAAGCAACUUAGUUUUACCUCUUCUCUUUAUCUUCCGUUCUUCCCUCCGGUGCCAUUCUAGAUCUCAGGACGAGAUCCUCUCGUAGUGGUGGAGUGUUGUGACGCCCCGAGUCCGAUGUGCCAGGUGUCCUCCGCUUAUUUUCUGUUGUUGGCUUGUCAUUUUCAUGUGUGUUGCAUCUUAUCAUGUCAUCAUGUGCAUUUCAUUAUCAUGUUUUCAAAACUUGCAUCCGUCCCGGUUCCCCCAGUUCCGUCUGUUGUCCGUUCUGAACCCAGACACACUUGCACGCGCCCGUGGCAUGUCCGAAAUAGUAUUUUAUAAGUGGCCGGGAAAUGUUCUCGGAAUGGGUUGAAAGUUGGCAUGCGGUGUUGUUUUCUUGUUAGUAGACCGCCUGCCAAGUUUCAUCGCAUUCGGAGUCCGUUUGAUGCCCCAACGGAUAAAUAUAGCGGUAAUAGUAGCCGGUCUAACGUCGGACUUUUUCGGUCUCCGGAAACAGAUGCCGGGCCCUCUCUCUCUUCUCCCCCUCGCAGUCUCGCCACAGCCCACCUAGUCCAUCCUCUUUACCCUCUUCGCUUCCGGAGUUGUCCGAUGCGACCGCACGGUCUGAAACCCCCUCUGCAUAGUGCAUCGAAACCCUCACGUGCGCGUCCGAAAUUGUCCCGGACCCGACCCGGGUAGUCGUCACCAUUGUGUCCGGAUCACCCCCAAACGUCUACAAAAUAUCUCCGUUUUGUUAAUUGGACUCCCUAUCUAUUUAUUCGCGACCGUCCGUUUCUGAUCAGAGGGACCGAGGUAGCCCCUAACCUAAUCUGUGAGGUAUAUAUAGUCCACCCUUAGUCAUUUUGGACAAACCCUAACUUCUAGGGAGAUGUCCCAUCGAUCCCUCUCGGCCGCCGCCACCUUCCAAUCCACCUCGUUUUCCCCAUGGCUCCAAUCAGGAGACUCCCCUGCCUUCCCGAUCCACCCAUCGAUCCACCACCCACCGUACCUCUCGGCCCGAACCCCAGGCACAGGCAUCCAACGUCGCCUCCAGCCACAUGCCCACAUCCAGCCGCUCACCCAGAGCAAGCAGCAGCCCCGCCGUCCUCAGGCGAGGACCUCCCAUCACCGGCGAACACCUGUAGCAGGACCAAGCGCCCCUGCCUCUUCCUUCCUCGUCCUUCUCUCCUCCCUCUCUCACCUGCUCUCUCUGUCGUGCAACAGGGAGCCCGGAGGAGUUUUGCGGCGGCCAUCCUCGUCCUCCGCGCCUACAUCAGCUCGAGGGCAGGAUCCCCUCGAUCCCAUGCUCUUCGUUGACCGCAGCUCCAGAUCAGAUCGACCUCACCCUUCCUGUACCUCCACCGC
rnacentral:lncRNA from 1 species